UUAAAUGUGUGCUUCAUCAAACUUUUAUAAAAACUUCAUAUACUAUAUCAGGUCACAUGUUUGAUGCAUUUGAACUGCCUUAAGUAGGGUUAAAAAUUAUAUGGCAAAGCAGUGGUAGCCAAAAUAUCUCAACUUGUUUGUAUGUAUCACUUGUAACUAAAUAAAUUAUAUUUUAACUGCGGUAUAUUCUUUACACAGUCUGUAGUUUUACUCCCCCAGUCCAGUAGGUGGCAGUGACGUUUCAUGAAACAAUGUGGCUGAGGUCGACAUGAAAACCAGGAACUAACAUUUUUUAACCCCCUGCUUCGAACGAUGGAGCAAACUACAAAUGAAACUCCUCAAAAAGUAUUUAUUUGUCAGUUGUGUGGUUUAAAUAGCCCUUAUACUUACUACGGUCAGAAACCACCAAACACUAGAGCUAUUGUGUUGCUUGAGGAGUGUUUUGUGACCAAAGACCCCUUCAGUCCUGACAAGGAACGGUUUCUUGUUUUGGGAUCUCUCUGCAGCCUGUGCAGCACACGUGUCUGUGCUGGAUCGGACUGCAGCCUUUUUUACACCAAGAGGUUCUGCCUGCAGUGUGUGAACAAGCACUUUGACCAGUUCCCCCAUCAGAUUCAGACUGAGCUGGCCAAGAAAAAGCAGAGCUCCAAGGCUGCCGUCUCAUGACACCAGGCAAGAGGUCCAUGACCUGCUCAGAAAUCAAAGAUAAAUGUCAAUACCUCUUGUCAUAAAUAGUUUUUUAUCAGCAUGUUCGAUUAGACCUAUACUGGCCCAAGCUAUAAAUACAUCAUGCAAAAUAAAACAUCUUGUACUUUAUUAGCAUUGCUCUGGGUUAUUUUUUUUUUAUUAUUUUUGUUGUAAAUUAACACCAUCCACUGGAAAAAUGCUAGUUUAUGCCUGAGGCCAAUAAAUUAGCCUGCUGUAUUAGUAGUUUUUUCUUUCUUUCUUUGUUUUUAAGAUGCAAACAGCAGGUGUGGCUAGUGUUCCAGGACCCUUGUUGGGUUGUGUUUGCAGGCUCAGAAUCUGCCCUCUUAAUAAAAAAUGGGUCCAAAUUUAAAAUCCAGUUGCCAUGUACUGUAUGUGGAAAAAAAUGCCCUGCAGUUGCUUUAAAUCUUCUGUUGCUGUGUAAUUGUUUAGCUGCAUGGCGACUUAAAAACAAAUGUGGGCAUUGCAUCUAAAAAGAAUGCUAGGUUAAACCAUCGACUGUGUAUAACAAUGGAUGACGUGUAACCAGUUCUGCUAUUAUGCAAAAGUGUAGCGAAACUUUUGCGAAUACAGGGGGCAGCCAUCUUGCUUUUGUGAUGCGUUUUGCAGUCAGACUCUGCACAGGAGCAACUAAAAGUGGAGCUGCAGUAUCCAGCCACCAAUCAGAGCUGCCAAAUCAUCCAAAAUAUUAUAUCUUCAAACAACCACUUGUGCACAACUCAGUGUGAUAAUAUCUAUCUAAAAUGAGAGAAAUCACCUUUGGCAAAAAUGUGUUUGAUCUGUGUUGUUUUUGACAUUUGGCUCAUGUCCCAUGAAAGGAGCAGGGUUUAUUACCUGUACUGCGACCAGGGAGCGAGCAGCUUAUGGUGGCUUCACUUCUGGGAGUUGUCGCAUGUCUAUCUUUAUAUACUGUCUAUGGAAUUAACAUAUCAAACCUUUAUUCAGUACAGCAGGGGUCCCCAACUCCCGGUCCCCGGACCGGUACCGGUCCGUGGAUCAUUUGGUACCGGGCGUGGUUAAAAUUCUAGUUAUUUUUCUUUCAUUAGUGUUAGUUUGAAAAAUGUCUGUUUCCACCCUCGCCUCACUACCGCACUUGACUCUGGCACGCCAUUUUACGCCUCAGCGACACAAGCUAACCCUUUUAAAAAAAUGAGCCAAAAACAAAAUUCACUGGAGAGCUUUUUCGGGAAGGAACGAGCAAACGAUGGGACAGCAGAAGGGUCACAGACUGCCAGCAAAAAGAAAGCUGCAUUUAAAAGAAAAUACCACGAUUCCUACCUAAGUUACGGGUUCAUCGCAAUAGGUGAUACACAAGCUCCACACUAUGCAUAAUUUGCGGUGACCAACAAGCUAAUGAAGACAUGAAACCCUCAAAAAUGCUUCACCACACUGAGACAAAACACCCUGCGUUAAAAGACAAGCCCUUUUUCUAGUUGCAGGGAAACAAACCCAAGGCCCACUGACUCUGCAUUAUGGUGAAUUGAUUAUUAUAGUGUAGAAUUAUUGUAAUUGCCUAAUAUAAAGUUUAAUUGUUGCAUUCAGACUACAUACUAUGAACUGACAAAGGUUUUUGUUAUCGGAACCCCUGCGCUUCUACCCUGUCCACGGAAAAAUUGUCAUGCAUGAAACCGGUCCCUGGUACAAAAAAGGUUGGGGACUGCUGCAGUACAGCACAUUUUCUAUUAUGGCUAUUUGUGAUAUUAAUUGAUAAUCAAAUCUGGAUGAACAAUAUUAAAGUUACUGCUAAUAUCUGAUCAGUCAUUUAAAAUGUUUUGGCCCAUUUCCUGUUGAGCCCAAACAGUGUGGGACUUGAAAGAACAAUGCAAAAGUAAAAAUAUUUCCCAAAGAGUAGUUGCUAGGCAGAUAAAAGACCAAGUGUUUCCCCUGCCCUUGCAGAAGAAAGAAAAUAAUAAUUAUACACUUUCUUGUUGUACUUGAUACCUUAUGCUUUUGUGCAAUUUUGAAGGUCCCCGUUUGUGAGAAAACACAUUACUUUUUAGUAACAUAACCAUAACAUUUAUGACAUUCUCUCUAGUACUAGAAAUAAAUGUACUGACAGUGACACAUGCUUUGUGUUACUGCUAUCACUUGGAGCUCUGCACUGUUGACUUCUAUGGAGUCAGAAAUGUUUUUCUAUGUUAGCUUAGACUAUAAUAUUUUAUAGUGACCUUUAUUGUCUUGUUUUGUGACUGUUUAAUCAUGGGUCAUAAUGUGCAUCUAAUUCUAAUUUUAGUGACAGUGUAAUGAUGUCGAAUCGGCGGUGUCAGAUAGUUAACUCCCACUUAGUCAAAUAACACUAUGUAGAUAAGACAGUAAUGUACACUAUGUAUGGUGGCAGGUAUUUUUUGAAUCAUCUCCUUGUGAAGAAACAUCAAUCUUGGCUCAGUAAAACUCUAAUGAAAGAACUUUGGUAAGACUUAUGAUUUUAUGUUUGUUGUGAUGGAUUAACUCAUACUUUUUUCCUUCUGAAGCCACGAGAACGAGACUUAAUUUGCCCUACUGAGUAAAAAAAUGUUUACCCAUAAUGCAUUAGUUACGCAUGUGUGACCUUAACAAAAUGUUCUCUUUGUUUUUCUUAUGUCCAUCUCAUCAGCUUGGUCAAUCUGAUGCUUUCAGCUCAAGCCUUUACAACACAAGCGACAAACACAUUACAGAUUAAGUAUGAUCCCAGCAAUAACACCAGUAUAACCCCUGGUCUUAACUGUAUUCAUUGCAGCAUAUCUGAGUGUUUUCAAGGGUUAAUUGAAACAGCAUGGCCUUUAAGGCAGGCCCAGUAUGUUUUCCUGGCAGAUGCUGUAGAGGAGUGCAGAGUGACACUGUAGAGGUUAACUUGGGAUAUUGUACAUUUCUGGGCACAAGUAGUCCUUACUGUCAGUGAUGUUUUCACUCAGUUUUUGCAGGAUUCCAACUGAGCUGUGGGAUACACAGACAUUAAAUGUUAAGCACUGAUGUGUUCACAUGGACACCAGUAAAAUUCUUACAUCAGGAUGUAAACUGAGGACUGUCAGAGGGGAAUGGAUUUCAACAUGUUUUUUUUUUUUCUUUUUAAGCUGAACCACUUUCUCUUUCCUCAGUGUUAAAAUUCUAAGCACACAUGAGCAAUUAUAAGUAAACCAAGCACACAAACCACCCCUGUGGUACCUGUGGCAAAGUCUGACAGCGAUAGGCACCCUGCCAACGAUGACGGAAGGCUUUCUGCUCUGGAGCUGAUGUCAUCAGAUGUCAGGAUGCAGAUUUGUGGCUUUUUUGUUGUUAUUGUUUUCCUUGGUGUCUUACUGUCCUCUAAUAACCUCAAAGCAGGAACCAAACAGAUGUACAGUGAUCGAAUCAAGUGUGCCUAAGUCAUUUAUGGGACACCAAAUCAGGUCAAACUGUAAGAUCUGUCAGCACUCAUACUGUCUUUGGAUGAUUGAUUUUUGUGAUAUUUUUACCAGCCUGGAGCAAGACAGCAGCCCACCUCUUUUUAUAUAGAUUUAACUAAUCAAUUAAUUCAGGCAUAGACUUGAUCCAAUACAGCUCCGUGUCGUAGUCGUUGCCCCUGGUCGACUUUAAGAAAGCUUUUGUGGGCGGUCCUAACGCGCAGACCAGUGGAUCGUAUUUGCUGUUUAAAUAGUCCUUGAUGUCGCCCACAGCUCUCUCUAACGCCAUGUUGGCUGUUCUAGCUUGAGUUGUUUCCAUCGGCCUUACUACGGACUUGACAGGAGUGGCUCUCUUAGAUCCCCUCCCUGCGCAUUUGGAGACAUUUUAUUCCAUUUUUUGCGCGCACGCGUACGAGCGGAGUAUACAUGCAUCAUUCCUUUGUCUUUGCAAUUAAAAGGAAUAAUACAUCGGAAUAGCCGUCGGAGAAGGGUUCGUUGUUGUUUGUGUACUCUUUUGCCUUGUCAUAUGUGCAACAAAAUGUCAGAUGUUCGCCUUUCUAAUGCGAGCCCGACGCUGGAGAGGGAGAGGGUGGAUGCGCGGCAGCCAGAAAACGUCAGACCUCCGGUCCGCAGAAACCUUUUCGGCAGACCUGACCCAGAGGCGUUAGGGGAAUAUUUAGCGGCUUCGAUACAGAGAGACGUGCAGACUUUUAUGGAAACAUAUAAUUAUGAUCCGGUCAACGACAGACCGAUGACUCCGCGUAAUUACGAGUGGCAGGAGGACAGCAACCCACCGGAGUAUUUUGUCAGACCACCUCACGGGAGUCAGCGGCCCCAGCGAGAUGUGGACUUACCCGGCGUUAACAACUGUAAGGAUGCCGAGGAGAGGACUGAAAGACGGUCGGGUCGACCAGACGGCGACAGUUCAACGAAAAGACGCUCAGGAGAUUCAGGUCCCUGCUUCAGCGAGUGUCAGAGUAAAAGGUUGCAUUUCGAUGACGACGGUGAUGAUGAUGAUGAAGACCAGUCGAGCGGCGCAGGAAGUCAGGCGGUAAAGGCCGUUGAGGAGAGACCCAGCGCCGAGAUCCAAUAAAAAACCAACCUGAGCAGAGGGACCUGUCGCUGGUGGAACACCGUAGCCUUUCUCAUCAUGUGACACACAGGAGAACAUUUAAAAAGCGCUCUUUUUCUAAAGAAGGGAAGAGAGAGAGGCUGCACAAGCACUGAAUAUGUACACUAUCAAGUUUUGGCACUCAUUUUAAUUCAACUGCCUCAGAAGCAGCAGACAAUGUAGCAGUGUGCAAAUGGAGUUUUGCUCAUCUUUUUUUUUUUUAAAUCUACUACCUAUGUUUCAGAUGUAGCACAAAAAGCAUAAUAUGCUUUUCAUACCUUUGUUAAAUGUUUUUGUGUGUGAAUUUGACUCAGGAAGUUGCAGUGCAAUUUCCAACAGAGAAAUAUCAUUUUGUUAAAGUGCUCAUAUUGUAUCAUUAUUCAGGUAAUUGAUGUAAGUUAAAAAUGCAGAUUUGAAAAGUCAGGGUUAUCUGGGAAAAAAUGUCUUCACAUUUUCUAUGGCUUUAUUUGUCCCUGUGUUAUAUAUAUAUAUAUAUUGCCAUUGAAGGUCCAGAUGGUCACACUGCAAGUUGAGGGCCCUUCUAACUGGGAACAGCCAUUAUAGAUAAAGUUUACAUACAAAACAAGUCUAAUUAUUUCCCUUUUUUUAUUUUUUUGCCAAAGUUUGUGCCUUUUUUUAGUCUGAGGGUGAGGGAUGGGUGGGUGUUAAGGUGGCUAAACUGCUGAGAAUUAUUCAACCAAAUUUGAACAGUAUUUGCUAUUAAUCCUAAGAAGUAACUUUUAUUUUUAAAUUAGGUGAGUUAAUAUGCCUUAUAGGUCACAUAGCACGCCCCCUAGUCCAGGUUAAUGUAGAUACACUAUGUUAAAAUACUGGGCUACUUAUUAUGCAAGUAUGUGAAUCAAAGAUUUGUCAUUGUGGUGUGGAAUUCAUGUGGAACAUGUAAUUGCACUAUUAUUGUCAUUUUUGUGAAGGCAGAAAACAAAGUUAAACUGCCUCAUUUAGUUUAAGAUUUUGAAGUGUACCUGUGUGCCUUUUUUUAAACACUGAAAAAAAUAUACUAACUUAUUUAUGUUGAGUUUUUUUCUGGGUUUCUGUAUAGCUUCUCAAAGCAAAAUUUGUGCGCGUUUUUGUAAAUAUAUAUUUUCAUUAUUGUUUUUGAGAUAAAUAAACUGUUGCAAAACUGAGCCUAAUAAUUGAUUUUAUACCCUGUGUGGUC